rnacentral:lncRNA from 1 species
AUGGGAGUACUGCUAUUUGAACUUCCACUAUUGCAAUCAUUAAACAUUCAGCAUUCAUUGGAACUGCUGGUGAUGGCUAAUCUUUGUGUGGUGCGUGUCGAUUCCCAUUUCACAAUACCCACAUGUCACCUGGGGUACUCACAGGUCUACAGUCCAGAAGGGAAAUUACAAGUACCUCGUCAGACUGCACAUAUGCCAUGUGCUGCAGGACUUCCCAUGCUGGUGCUGGUGUUUCAAAUGCCACUGAGGAUUGACUUAAAGGCAAUGAGUGAAAGAAAAUCUAGAUCCCUGGAUGUUUUUGUUGUAAGCCCUCCAGUUUAAAAAUGGUCUUUUUCGUCAAGGUUGAAUGCAUUUAUUUUCUGCAUCCAGGAUUGUAAUUUAUUUGUUUUGUUUUUGUCUGCUAUAACACUCUAACAUCACAAAUCUUCCAUUCAGAUAUUUCUAAAUCUUAAUUAGAAUUCCUUAAAUU